rnacentral:rRNA from 1 species
UACGAAGGUGGCAAGCGUUGUUCGGAUUCACUGGGCGUACAGGGUGUGUAGGCGGUUUGGUAAGCCUUCUGUUAAAGCUUCGGGCCCAACCCGGAAAGCGCAGAGGGUACUGCCAGGCUAGAGGGCGGGAGAGGAGCGCGGAAUUCCCGGUGUAGCGGUGAAAUGCGUAGAUAUCAGGAGGAACACCGGUGGUGUAGACGGCUCUCUGGACCGUAACUGACGCUGAGACACGAAAGCGUGGGUAGCAAACAGG